UUUUUUUUUUUAAUAAAGAGAUACUCCACUAAUAAUUUAUAUAAAAGAGAAGACAUCCAACAAAGUUGGAAAACCCAUGAGACUGAUCAAUAAUUUGCGAUUUUCUAGCUCUCUAAUUGACAACAUUUUUCAAAUAUGAAGUCUUAAAAUAAAGUCUAAAACCUGUCCUAAGCAUUUUUAUUUCACUGAUUGAUCACAUUCAUAGCAAUGUACUUGACUCCAUCAGUAUUGGGAUUGUUUCCU
rnacentral:lncRNA from 1 species